rnacentral:misc_RNA from 1 species
AACGCACGAGACCUGCGGACCUGCGGAAGGAUCAUUAUCGAGUUAGGGUCUUCACGGGCCUGACCUCCCAACCCUAUGUUUACCAAACCUAUGUUGCUUCGGCGGGCCCGUCUCACGACCGCCGGGGGACGGUAAGACGUCCUCUGGCCCGUGCCCGCCGGUGGCCAACCAUCCAAAUUCUGAUUCAAACAUGUUAACCUGUCUGAGUGUCAGUUUUUAAUUAAAGCAAAACUUUUAGCA